CGGUAACCUCACCGUCUUAAUUCUCCUCGGGACUACACAUAUCAAAUGGCAGCCCAUGUACGCCCCUUCCCGCUUCUCUCUCUCUUCGCGCCAUCUCCUUUCUCUGCACUCACCAUGAAAAGCACUUCGAGUAUAGCCGUCAUAGGCAGCGGAAUUUCCGGGGCGGUGUGCGCGUCCCUUCUGGCCGGCAGAGGAGUUUCCGUCACUGUUUUUGAAUCAGGGAGAGGAGCCGGUGGGAGGAUGUCUCAAAGGAGAGAAACCAUGGAAGAUGGGAGAGAACUCUUUUUUGACCAUGGUGCUCCAUAUUUUACUGUGAAUCAUGACGAAGUAAUGAGUCUUGUCGGCUCAUGGGAAUCACGGGGCCUUGUCGCCGAGUGGAAGGAGACUUUUGGGUCUUUUGACAGAAACACUGGCAAAUUCCUUGAUUUUGAGAAGGAAGGGCUAACUAAGAAAUAUGUGGGUGUUCCAGGCAUGAACUCAAUAUGCAAAGCACUAUGUCACGAACCUGGAGUGGAGGCCAAGUUUGGCAUCACUGUUGGCAAAAUCAAUUGGCUUCAGGAUAGAAGUAUAUGGUCGUUGACUGGUUUAGAUGGGGAAAAUCUAGGCCGGUUUGAUGGUGUAGUGGCCUCAGACAAAAAUGUAACUUCACCAAGAUUUACUGGGGUAACUGGAAGACCUCCACCUCUUGAUGUGUCAUCAUCUCCAGAAUUGGCAGUGAUGUCACAAGAUAUUCCUGUUCGUUCUUGUUUUGUUCUUAUGUUGGCAUUCCGAGAACCACUUUUGUCAAUACCUGUGAAAGGCUUUUCCUUCAAGAACUCUGAGCUUUUAACCUGGGCUUUCUGUGACAGUAGUAAGCCUGGCCGUUCUUGUUUAUCCCCUGAUAGUGAACAUUGGGUUUUGCACUCAACAGCAGAGUAUGCAGCUAGUGUAAUAACCAGAACUGGGCUUCGAAAACCUACAAAUGAUACACUGACCAAGGUGGCAGAAGAGUUAUUCCAAGAAUUUCAGGCCACAGGAUUGACCAUUACACACCCAUUCUUUAUGAAAGCUCAUAGAUGGGGCAGUGCUUUCCCAGCUAUUGCUAUCGGUGGGGGGGAGAUGUGUUUGUCGGACAAUAACAGAAGGUUGGUCCUUUGUGGAGAUUUUUGUGCUGGUUCUAAUGUUGAAAGUGCAGUACUUAGUGGCAUACGAGCAGCUUCAAAGAUUUUAGGAAGUUUGAGCAACUUGUGAUGCAGCUGCACUUUACUCCAUCUCCAUGGAUAUGCUGGGUGACUUAUUUUUCUGUGGCAUGCAUGCAAAAUGUGUUAGUUAUUAUGGUAAUCAAAGGUUGGGACAGUUCUGAGCUACAGGAAGAAGCCUAUUCAUACGCCAAAUCUCCCUGCACAAUCUGCAUUGACACUGGUGAUAGGAGAAACUAAGAAACUUACCUGUUACGGCCUCUUGGAACAUUCAUAUAGUUCUUUAUUUAUACACCAGAUCCAGUUCUUCGCUAGCCACUCAAACCCUCAGUCGUGGGAGAUACCCUGCAAUAUAUUUUGCAGGCCAUAAUCAAAACUUGCACAUUUGUUGCGUCAAACUCUCUUAUGCAGCUUUCUUCUUUCUGCUUGAGGAAACCAUAUAUAAGAUCUUUUCAGAUGUUAGUUUUUGAUCUUUGACUAGCAAUCCACGUUUCAUCUACAUUGCGUUGAUUGAACAGCUUUUGUCAUCAAAGUUUAAAACUCAUAACCUGUUGUCAGCCUUCUGAUUUGGUAUGGAAUCCAAACUAAAGCAUCUUGUAAGAUGGGAGAAGAUGGGCUUGGCAUUAACUGAAGUCAGUUGAUCAUAAGAUGGACUUUUUUUCUAGUUCGAGCUCAUGUAGUACAGACCGACCUGCAAAGUUCCAAGUAUAAAAAUGGUUCUG